AGCACUGACAAGUUGGCUGCAAUGGAUCGCAUUGUUCCAUCCAACCUUGACGUCCCCAUGUAUGCUACCAUGGGGAAUCGCUCAAAGAAACGGAAGGUGGCACAUGGAACCACGGCUGUGGUCUCCAAAGGAAAGAAGGCCCGCCUUGAGGCACUUCAAACUCCAGCAAGGAUUGCCAAACCUUCGAAGCUGGUACCUCCCCCUCGACCUGUGCCAGAAGCUGCUGUACCAGC